ensembl:snRNA U6 U6 spliceosomal RNA
AUGUUAGCUUCAGCAGCACAUAUACUAAAAUUAGAACAUACAGAGACUAGCAUGGCCCCUGCACAAGGAUAACAGAAAUUUGUGAGGCAUUCCAUAAUUUU